AUUGAACGCUGGCGGCAGGCCUAACACAUGCAAGUCGAGCGGAUGAAGGGAGCUUGCUCCUGGAUUCAGCGGCGGACGGGUGAGUAAUGCCUAGGAAUCUGCCUGGUAGUGGGGGAUAACGUCCGGAAACGGGCGCUAAUACCGCAUACGUCCUGAGGGAGAAAGUGGGGGAUCUUCGGACCUCACGCUAUCAGAUGAGCCUAGGUCGGAUUAGCUAGUUGGUGGGGUAAAGGCCUACCAAGGCGACGAUCCGUAACUGGUCUGAGAGGAUGAUCAGUCACACUGGAACUGAGACACGGUCCAGACUCCUACGGGAGGCAGCAGUGGGGAAUAUUGGACAAAGGGCGAAAGCCUGAUCCAGCCAUGCCGCGUGUGUGAAGAAGGUCUUCGGAUUGUAAAGCACUUUAAGUUGGGAGGAAGGGCAGUAAGUUAAUGCCUUGCUGUUUUGACGGUACCAACAGAAUAAGCACCGGCUAACUUCGUG
rnacentral:rRNA from 1 species